rnacentral:rRNA from 1 species
AGCGAACGCUGGCGGCAGGCCUAACACAUGCAAGUCGAACGAACUCUUCGGAGUUAGUGGCGGACGGGUGAGUAACACGUGGGAACGUGCCUUUUGGUUCGGAAUAACUCAGGGAAACUUGUGCUAAUACCGAAUGUGCCCUUCGGGGGAAAGAUUUAUCGCCUUUAGAGCGGCCCGCGUCUGAUUAGCUAGUUGGUGAGGUAACGGCUCACCAAGGCGACGAUCAGUAGCUGGUCUGAGAGGAUGACCAGCCACACUGGGACUGAGACACGGCCCAGACUCCUACGGGAGGCAGCAGUGGGGAAUCUUGCGCAAUGGGCGAAAGCCUGACGCAGCCAUGCCGCGUGAAUGAUGAAGGUCUUAGGAUUGUAAAAUUCUUUCACCGGGGACGAUAAUGACGGUACCCGGAGAAGAAGCCCCGGCUAACUUCGUG